UUAGGUCUUGGGCAGCUUUCCUUACUUGCUAAAGUCUUCGUUCUUAUCUUACCAGUUAAGUUUCUGAAUGUGUGUGUCUCUCUCUCUCUCUCUCUCUAUAUAUCCCUAUACAUUUCCUCGGUUGUAUCUAUCUCUCUUCAACUGUAGACAAGCUUUCUAUCAAUCGAUCUGGAGUGGAGACUAGAGAAGGUAGGUGAUUCUAUUGAUGGCAACUUCAUUCAGAUUGACAUUAGAGAUGGUGGCUUCUUUCAGAUUGACAUUAGAUAUAAUGGUAACAUUUUUUUUUUUCACUUUAUACACGAGUACAAUGAUAACUUGAUCACUAUGUGUGUUUGAUUGAAAGUAAGAGAGUUUGUAUAUGCUAUUGUUGUAGGUACUAAUUUGCAGUUAAAUCCAUUGAUGGGAGUAGGUGGUAUCGGAAAAGAGGUAAGUUAUGUCAUUUGGUCUAAAUUAUUAUUUGGUAUUUCAAUUUAACAUUCAUCUUUGUUAUCAAGGUAUACAUAUUGUAUCUAAACUUUGUUGAUUAGAGAUUGAAUCAACUGCUCAAUUCAAUCGACUGGAUGUUGUUAAUUUCAAUCAUUUAAGGUUUUUAUAGAAAACAAUAGUUCAAUUGUAUUGGUAUCAUGUAGAUGUAUCUAAUAAACACGCUUUUAAAUAUGGUUUCAAAUUUAAAAUCUAACAAUCAAAUGAGACAACUUAGCAAUUAAAACCAUCUUUAUUCUGACUGCAUCCUAGAAACUCAUUUGAACUUUUAAAUUAGACAUACUUGAAAGUCCAAUUAACAAUCAUUUUAUAAUCUUGAUCAGGAAAUAUUGCAGAUCGGAAUAUGUGAAUGAACAUAUGACUCAAUCCAAGAAAAUGAGGAGUGGUGGAUGGGAGAGGAGCGGUGGUGGAGAGGUAAGUUUUACAAGUGUGUACCACAAACCCAUCUAAUCCACAUUUGGUGCCUGAAACUUCAAUCCGAUUUUACCUCCAGUGGCAUGUCACAUGUGUUUAUCACAUGAAACUCUUUCGAUGUUGAUAUAGAACAAGCAACACUUGUAUUUUCCAUGUGAAAUAGUAACUGUUGUUGUCCUACAUUAACAGAAUUCAAGACAUGUUUUGGUCAAUCUAUGCUUUGGACAAGCUCAAAUACUUCGGAAGAACCAUAGAAACUAACCCUCCAAAUCCUUUUAAAGAUAACGACUCAACCCUGAAAGAUUGUUAUGUAUCAAAGCAUAACCUCUCCACUCACAUCGCGAAGAAGGAUGAAAGAUGACAGGGCCCAAACGAGCUUAUCCAUUGGGAUGGACAUAUGCUUCUGAUGUUGCAGUAUCCGCAAUAGAAAACCGUUAUGUUGUUGGUCUAGUAGUCUCGUUUUGGACAUUAAUUGGAAUGGGUGGUAUCGAAAAUUCUAUUGUUUCUUAAGCUUGAUUGUUUGAAUAAAUUUAUCAGUUAUUAGAGACAUACCUCAAUUAUUUUUUUAACUAGUCAUACCUCAAUUCCAAUGACUCAAAAUGUUCUUGGUUUACAACACUUGGUUUACAACAUUCGAAAUUUUUAUCUAUUUUUGCAAGCAAUAGUUUGUAGUGUAAGCCUCAAUGCACUUCGGAAUAUGGCAAUUAUUGAGUCCCUAGACUAAAGACUUCUAGUGCGACUCAAAGGAAAAAUGAAGUACUUUAAUUUGAACAUAUAUUUCAGUAAUUGUUA
rnacentral:lncRNA from 1 species